rnacentral:tRNA from 1 species
CAUUAAAUGACUGAAUAAAAGUAUUGAUUUUUUAAAUCAAAUUAUAAUAGAUUAUUUUAUCUAUUUUUAAUGA